AUCAACCUCUAACUUGCUAACAGCUGUGGGGUGUAAGUGUAGGCACCAUGCAAGGACACAGGGUUCAUUCCUUCAUUCCAUUUAGAAGAAAACAGACUACUCCAUCACUACUCUCUGGGAAACCUCUGGGAAGAGGAGGGCAGGAAGAAGGAAGAAGGGUGAGACUCAUCUUCCCCCAGGAUUCCAAUACAAACUGAAGACCUGCAGCUCUUCAGGAAUCCUCCAGUGGGACUGCACAGCUAGCAAAUUCUCAGCCUCCCUGUCAUGAGACAGCAUUGUUUGACCACUCAGGACCCCUCUGUAAGCCAGUCCUAUAAACCCCCUUUUAAUACAAAUAUUCUGUCACCUUUGUUUCUUAGAGAACCCUGACUAAUACGAGACUUAUUUCUAACUGCAGAAAUUCCUUUGGGGAUACCUCCUGACUCAAGAUCAGCAAACAAGAAUCUGUGUUUUAUACAUGGCCCCGUCCCUGAGAGGCAUUGAUGAGACCACAUUAAGAACAAUAUGAGCCUCCUCAGGCUCCAUGUCCCCACUGUUAGGCAUCUCAGCUAAGGUCAUCCCUAUUGACCCCUGGGAACCUCCCCCAUCUCAAGUCUCUGGGACUUCCUAAAGAUUAACCCCACUCCCAACCCCUGGCAGCUGCAGAUUUCUAUUCAUUCUCCUGGUCCUCUGGGUCUCUCUCCUGUCCCCUGCCCCCAUUCCCUUCCCCUUCCAGUCUCCUACCCACUUCCCUCCCUCUCUCUGCCUCCUAUGAUUAUUCUGUUCCCCCUCCUAAGGUGAUUCAAGCAGCCUCCCUUGGG
ensembl:lncRNA LOC120093588 uncharacterized LOC120093588